UGGUAUUCAGACGGUGGCUGUGGGGAAGCAGUAGCUUGAAAUAGACGAGUCUCUGGUUAACAUGCUGAGGAACUAAUCCAGAAUGGAUGUGAGAACACAUUCAGAGCCUCCUCUCCUAUACUGGCUGGCAGACUCAACAGGCUACAGUAGACUUAGGUCUUUAAUUCCUCUAGAGAAAUGCAUGAAGUUGCAGCAUCUUGGGGAACUGUGCACCAAUGGCCAUGGGCUCAGCAGGGGAUAAUGUCUGAGCAGGUACAGUGCAACUUCAAGGACACUGGUGGAAACAGGAAAAAGUGUAAGACAAGAAAGGAGUUUCUUCGUCCAAAAGAUUCUGCAGCUAUCCAUCUGUAGAAAUGACAUAGAAUUAUAUUUCAGACAUCAUCAGCAACUCUUCAUUUCUUGAAAAAUACAUGAAUUCCUAUUGCCCACAGUUCCCAAGUAGAACUACUUGAACAGAAAAAUGAGAACUGGGAAGUUAAAUUGGCUUCUUGGUUUUCAUUGUGAAAUACAGCAAAAUGCAGAAGGGAAGGCAGAGAUCACUGUUAGCAGAAAAGUGAAAAUAUCAGUACUUAAGUUGUUUUAUGCAGACACAUAAAAUUGUCCCCUUUUGAACAAAUGACUCAGAAGUCCUCCUUCAAUCUGUCUGGUGUAGUGACCUCUCUCCCUUCCUAUGUCACUUUGGUCUUGUUGGCUUUGAGUAU
rnacentral:lncRNA from 1 species